GAUGAACGCUGGCGGCGUGCCUCAAACAUGCAAGUCGAGCGAGGCUAUGAGUUACCGCAAGGUAAGGCAUAGCCUAGCGGCGAACGGGUGAGUAACACGUGGGUAACCUACCUGGAAGACAGGGAUAACGAUUCGAAAGGGUCGCUAAUACCUGAUAAUAUCCAUCUGCCGGAUGGCGGAGGGAAGAAGGGGAAACCCGCUUUCAGAUGGGCCCGCGUCCCAUCAGCUAGUUGGUAAGGUAAAGGCUUACCAAGGCGACGACGGGUAGCCGGUCUGAGAGGAUGUACGGCCACACUGGGACUGAGAUACGGCCCAGACUCCUACGGGAGGCAGCAGUUGGGAAUCUUAGGCAAUGGACGAAAGUCUGACCUAGCGACGCCGCGUGAGGGAAGAAGGCCUUCGGGUUGUAAACCUCUGUCAUGGGGGAAGAAGGAAGUGACGGUACCCCAAGAGGAAGCCCCUGCUAACUACGUG
rnacentral:rRNA from 1 species